CUGAUAUAUUUUUUUAAAGUUCAGCUGCAACAAUCAAUUCGUCAUUCCCAUUCAUAUGAAUCUUAGGAGCUAUAUAAACCCCAAUAUCAUUCUCAUUUUCAAUCCAAGUCAAUCAUGAAGCUGACUCUUCUUAUCUUUGCCAUUGUUGCCCUGGCCUUUGUGGGAGCCCAACCCAAAUCCUCACCUCCCAAGUCGGACAAUGGGAAAUAAAAAUGGCCUUCAAGGAGCCCAACCCAAGUCCGCAGCACCUCGUAGUGCCGGAAAUUAAACCAGGGAAAAAAUAUGAAUUCUAAAAUGGAGCACCAUCUUCAUUAAAAUCAAAAAAAAAUGCAUUAAAAUUAUGAUGUUAUCCCUUUAAAAAUAUGAACAAUGUGUCUUAAUUUUUGUUGCUAAAAUUGGGGAGGUGUGUUACACCUAGCCGCAUCGGCCAAGUAUGUUACAUGCUAUGGGUAGUUCUCUGAACUUAAUCGGGUCGUAAGCCCUUACUAUUAGGUGUAUACAGGUGGCCUCGUUGUGGAUUUUUUCAAUUACCAUAUCACUGGCGUAGGCGUUACUGGGCGCUAAUCGCAGACUCCUUAUGAAGUAACCUGCUGAUGGAUGAUGUAGUAUGCGGUGGCCUUCUCGUUCAUAUGUAGAGCCCACCUCCUGCCCAACCGGCAGAGGGGCUCCUGCCAUAUAACGUACGGCCCGAAGUGCGGCGACAGACCCUAGUUAUAAAAUAAAUGGAUAAAAUGGUUAGAUAGCUAAUGAGAAAGUAUUGCUGCGCGCAAAAAAGAAAUCAAGAGCAUAUGAUUUUAGAUUAAAGGCAGAGGAAAGCAAUAAAAUGCGUUCAACUGCAACAAUCAAUUCGUUAUUCCAAUUUAAUCCAGACAAAUUCAUUACAUUCAUAUGAAUCUUAGGAGCUAUAUAAACCCCAAUAUCAUUCUCAUUUUCAAUCCAAGUCAAUCAUGAAGCUGACUCUUCUUAUCUUUGCCGUUGUUGCCCUGGCCUUUGUGGGAGCCCAACCCAAAUCCUCACCUCCCAAGUCGGACAAUGGGAAAUAAAAAUGGCCUUCAAGGAGCCCAACCCAAGUCCGCAGCAGCUAGUAGUGCCGGAAAUUAAACCAGGGAAAAAAUAUCAAUUCUAAAAUGGAGCACCAUCUUCAGUAAAAUCAAAAAAAUGCAUUAAAAUUAUGAUGUUAUCCCUUUAAAAAUA